CACUCAUUCAAAGAGUGCGUAAUAGCUCACUGGUCGAGUGAUCCUGCGCCGAAGAUUUCCGGGGCUAAAACUUACUACCGAAGCUACGGCAUCAGUAAUGAUGGGUAGGGGAGCUUCCCAUACGGGUUGAAGCAUGACCGUAAGGACAUGUGGACAGUAUGGGAGUGAGAAUGUUGGCAUGAGUAGCGAGAUGUGGGUGAGAAUCCCACAGGCCGUAAACCCAAGGUUUCCAGGGGAAGGUUCGUCCGCCCUGGGUUAGUCGGGACCUAAGCUGAGGCCGAAAGGCGUAGGUGAUGGACAACAGGUUGAUAUUCCUGUACUACCGAUAACCGUUUGAGAGAUGGGAUGACACAGUAGGAUAAGCUAAGCACACUGUUGGUUAUGUGUGCCCAAGCAUUGAGGCAGUCAAAGUAGGCAAAUCCGCUUUGAUAAUGCUGGGAUGUGAUGGGGAGCGAAAUUUAGUAGCGAAGUAGCUGAUUUCACACUGUCAAGAAAAGUCUCUAUCGAGGUUAAAGGUACCCGUACCGCAAACCGACACAGGUGGGUGAGGAGAGUAUCCUAAGGCCAGCGAGAGAACUGUUGUUAAGGAACUCGGCAAAAUGACCCCGUAACUUAGGGAUAAGGGGUGCCACCAUCAGGUGGCCGCAGAGAAUAGGCCCAAGCGACUGUUUACCAAAAACAUAGGUUUCUGCUAAGUCGCAAGACGAUGUAUAGGAGCUGACGCCUGCCCGGUGCUGGAAGGUUAAGGGGAUCUGUUAGAGCAAUCGAAGCAGUGAACUUAAGCCCCAGUAAACGGCGGCCGUAACUAUAACGGUCCUAAGGUAGCGAAAUUCCUUGUCGGGUAAGUUCCGACCCGCACGAAAGGCGUAACGAUUUGGGCACUGUCUCAACAACAGACUCGGUGAAAUUGUAAUUCCGGUGAAGAUGCCGGAUACCUGCGACAGGACGGAAAGACCCCAUGGAGCUUUACUGUAGCUUGACAUUGGGUCUUGGUACUACAUGUACAGGAUAGGUGGGAGGCUUUGAAACCAGGACGCCAGUUUUGGCGGAGCCAUCCUUGGGAUACCACCCUUGUAGUACUGGGACUCUAACCAUAGGCCAUGAAUCUGGUCUUGGGACACUGUCAGGUGGGCAGUUUGACUGGGGCGGUCGCCUCCCAAAAGGUAACGGAGGCGCUCAAAGGUUCUCUCAGUACGGUCGGAAAUCGUACGUAGAGUGUAAAGGCAAAAGAGAGCUUGAUUGCAAGACAUACAGGUCGAGCAAGGAUGAAAAUCGGACUUAGUGAUCCGGUGGUUCUGCGUGGAAGGGCCAUCGCUCAACGGAUAAAAGCUACCCUGGGGAUAACAGGCUUAUCUCCCCCAAGAGUCCACAUCGACGGGGAGGUUUGGCACCUCGAUGUCGGCUCAUCACAUCCUGGGGCUGUAGUAGGUCCCAAGGGUUGGGCUGUUCGCCCAUUAAAGUGGUACGCGAGCUGGGUUCAGAACGUCGUGAGACAGUUCGGUCCCUAUCCGUCGCAGGCGUAGGAAAUUUGAGAAGACCUGUCCUUAGUACGAGAGGACCGGGAUGGACGUACCUCUGGUGUACCAGUUGUCCUGCCAAGGGCAUGGCUGGGUAGCUAUGUACGGAAUGGAUAAGCGCUGAAAGCAUCUAAGCGCGAAGCCAACUUCAAGAUAAGAUUUCCCACCGCAAGGGUAAGACCCCAGAAAGACUAUCUGGUUGAUAGGUCGAAGGUGUAAGUGCAGCAAUGUAUUUAGCUUAUCGAUACUAAUAGGUCGAGGACUUGACCAA
rnacentral:rRNA from 1 species